UAGAGUUUGAUCCUGGCUCAGAACGAACGCUGGCGGCGUGGAUAAGACAUGCAAGUCGAACGGGAACUUUUUUGGUAGCAAUACCGAAAAAGUUCUAGUGGCGAACGGGUGCGUAACACGUGGGCAAUCUGCCUUAAAGUGGGGGAUAGCUCGGCGAAAGCCGAAUUAAUACCGCAUGUGAUCAGAGGGGACAUCCCUUCGAAAUCAAAGUCGGGGCAACCUGACGCUUUUUGAGGAGCCCGCGGCCUAUCAGCUAGUUGGUGAGGUAACGGCUCACCAAGGCUCUGACGGGUAGCUGGUCUGAGAGGACGACCAGUCACACUGGAACUGAGACACGGUCCAGACACCUACGGGUGGCAGCAGUCGAGAAUUUUUCUCAAUGGGGGAAACCCUGAAGGAGCGACGCCGCGUGGAGGAUGAAGGUCUUCGGGUUGUAAACUCCUGUCAUUUGGGAACAAGUUGGACGCCGUAACUGCGCGUCCAUUGAUAGUAACAGAAGAGGAAGGGACGGCUAACUCUGUGCCAGCAGCCGCGGUAAUACAGAGGUCUCAAGCGUUGUUCGGAUUCAUUGGGCGUAAAGGGUGUGUAGGUGGCGCGCUAAGUCGGGUGUGAAAUUUCGGAGCUUAACUCCGAAACUGCAUUCGAUACUGGCGUGCUUGA
rnacentral:rRNA from 1 species